rnacentral:rRNA from 1 species
UACGGAGGGUGCAAGCGUUAUCCGGAUUUAUUGGGUUUAAAGGGUCCGUAGGCGGAUCUGUAAGUCAGUGGUGAAAUCUCACAGCUUAACUGUGAAACUGCCAUUGAUACUGCAGGUCUUGAGUGCUAUUGAAGUAGCUGGAAUAAGUAGUGUAGCGGUGAAAUGCAUAGAUAUUACUUAGAACACCAAUUGCGAAGGCAGGUUACUAAGCAACAACUGACGCUGAUGGACGAAAGCGUGGGGAGCGAACAGG